GAUGAACGCUGGCGGCGUGCCUAAUACAUGCAAGUCGAGCGAACAGACGAGGAGCUUGCUCCUCUGACGUUAGCGGCGGACGGGUGAGUAACACGUGGAUAACCUACCUAUAAGACUGGGAUAACUUCGGGAAUCCGGAGCUAAUACCGGAUAAUAUAUUGAACCGCAUGGUUCAAUAGUGAAAGACGGUUUUGCUGUCACUUAUAGAUGGAUCCGCGCCGCAUUAGCUAGUUGGUAAGGUAACGGCUUACCAAGGCAACGAUGCGUAGCCGACCUGAGAGGGUGAUCGGCCACACUGGAACUGAGACACGGUCCAGACUCCUACGGGAGGCAGCAGUAGGGAAUCUUCCGCAAUGGGCGAAAGCCUGACGGAGCAACGCCGCGUGAGUGAAGAAGGUCUUCGGAUCGUAAAACUCUGUUAUUAGGGAAGAACAAAUGUGUAAGUAACUAUGCACGUCUUGACGGUACCUAAUCAGAAAGCCACGGCUAACUACGUG
rnacentral:rRNA from 1 species